rnacentral:tRNA from 1 species
GACACGGUUGCUGCAGCUCAAGUCCCCGAUCCGACAUGCGGUGACACGCCCAGACUCACUAUCUGGCGGACUGUAAAUCCGUCGGCUUACGCCUACGCAGGUUCGAAUCCUGCACCUGCCA